rnacentral:rRNA from 1 species
UACGGGGGGGGCAAGCGUUGUUCGGAAUUACUGGGCGUAAAGGGCUCGUAGGUGGCCAACUAAGUCAGACGUGAAAUCCCUCGGCUUAACCGGGGAACUGCGCUUGAUACUGGAUGGCUUGAGUGUGGGAGAGGGAUGCGGAAUUCCAGGUGUAGCGGUGAAAUGCGUAGAUAUCGCUUGGAACGCCAAAGGUGAAAACAGGUUGCUGGGGUUGUGCCGACGCUGAGACACGAAAGCCAGGGGAGCAAACGGG